AGUGAACGCUGGCGGUAGGCCUAACACAUGCAAGUCGAACGGCAGCACAGUAAGAGCUUGCUCUUACGGGUGGCGAGUGGCGGACGGGUGAGGAAUACAUCGGAAUCUACUUUUUCGUGGGGGAUAACGUAGGGAAACUUACGCUAAUACCGCAUACGACCUACGGGUGAAAGCAGGGACUCUUCGGACCUUGCGCUAUUGAAUGAGCCGAUUUAGUAUUAGCUAGUUGGCUGGUGAAAGGCCUCGAAGGCGACGAACCGUAGCUGGUCUGAGAGGAUGAUCAGCCACACUGGAACUGAGACACGGUCCAGACUCCUACGGGAGGCAGCAGUGGGGAAUAUUGGACAAUGGGCGGAAGCCUGAUCCAGCCAUACCGCGUGGGUGAAGAAGGCCUUCGGGUUGUAAAGCCCUUUUGUUGGGAAAGAAAAGCAGCAGGUUAAUACACCGCUGUUCUGACGGUACCCAAAGAAUAAGCACCGGCUAACUUCGUG
rnacentral:rRNA from 1 species